AGUGUAACCUCAGAAGAGGAACUCGCUGUUUCCAACAACUUCUCCCUCUUGAUUUUCAUAAUUUUUCCUCUUCAAACUUUUUAGAGUCUACCUACAGGAAUAAGUACAUCUAUAAGAACAGUAAGAGGUCAACCUUGAGAGGAUGGACGUUGGAUGUUCAGCUGAGGAAAAUUCUAAACAAAAUGUUGAAGGAGCAGCUUCGUUCUUCCUGACUGCUUAUGGUAAAAUGUGAGAAGAGAAGAAAAAAAAUGAGUUGAAAAUGGAAUUGUUAAGCAAAAGGAAUCAGAACUAAAGAUCUGGCAAAUUCUCAUCCUGUCCACAUUAGAAGAAAUAUGAAAGUACAUUGGAAACAGAACACAAAGGGUGUGACACACUUGCCAUUUGAUAAAGAGAUUAGGGUGGAUAAGAACCACAGAUUCAAUCACCCAUCUCAACAGAAGCAAGGACUAGAGAUGGGCUCUUACCAGCAGAUACCCUGACAACUGGGACUAAUGGAAACACAAAGUGAGACAGAAUGAAGAAAGACUGUGAAUGUCUGCUGUCCUUCAAUAAAGGGGAAGAAGAACCCCAAAGGUGAUUUGGAGACUAUCUGGGCCACUGCUUAGGUUUCAGCAAGGCAGAUGGCCUCCAACAGAAGUCGUGGGAAUGGGCCAUCUGGAGUUGUGGGCAGGGGGAUGCACAGCAGAGCCUUUGGGGCAGUAUCUCAACCCCAAGGAGCAGUGAUUUGGGCAGGGCCUUGCUGAGUCAUGGGGUCGAUGUUGUCACCCUAGUGGGUCCAGAAGUCAGCUCAUCAGGCCAAAGAAGAUUAUUAACAAGACUUAAGGUCUCAUAGUUUGCCCUGCCAGGUUUUGGGCUUGCCUGGGGCCCAGCCUCCCUUCUUUUCUUAUUUCUCCCUUUUUGGAUGGGAAUAUUUAUCCCAUAUCUAUCUCACCAUUGUAUUUUGGAGGAAGAUGACUGUGGUCAUCCUGCAUUUGGUGCUAACAAGUAGUGAGUAUGUAUGAUAAACUACUAUGGAGUAACAACUGAGAAUUUCACUAUUCCCAGAGAAGCUUAAAAAUUAAGACAAGUCAGGGUCCAGAGAAAUAGGUAUACAUGAACUCAGACAUCAAGAAUACUAAACUAAUAUGUCUGUAUUUAUAGUUACACAAUAGCUAAAUGUCACGGAAAACUAGAAAGACAGAAAUAUUUAUUUGAGGUAGUGAAAUUAAUGAAGUGAAAAUGAGCAAAUGGAAGCACCCUAGAACAGCUUUCAAGGAGUUUAACAGUUAAGAAUUUUGGAAGGACGUAUUUUACAGGUAAUAGAAAAGUAUAGAGGGGCGGCUUAAAUUCAGUACAAUAUGUGCAAGGGUUAAGGGCAUUGAAGAUUGUUAUAGGAGGAUGCAAGAUGAAUACCUACCCAUCAAAACAAGGGAGUAGGAGAGAAUUCCUGAAGGAAGUGUUUUCACCUGCUUCGGUGAUUAAGAACCUAAAGAUAAUUUAGAGGAAUUUUGGAAUGUUUAUACAGGAGUAAAGAUGGUCAAAGAUACUCACUUCCUUCUUCCUUGAAUCCAUAAAUAUGUUACAUGACAAAGAAAAUUAAGUUUACAGGUAGAAUUAUAGAAGUAAAGAUGGUGAAAGAUGCCCACGUCCUUAUUCCCAGAAGCCAUGACUAUUAUAUUUUGUUGUAUGGCAAAGGAAGAUUAAAGUUACAGAUAGAAUUAAGGUGCUUGUCAGCUGACUUUAAAAUAGAAAAACUAUCCUUAUGAGCCCAGUGUAAUACUUUAAAACUAGAAGAGGAAGCAGAAGAGGAGGUGAAGAAAUGUGAGGAGGCCUCUCUCCACCAUUGCUGGCUCUGAAGAUGGAUGAAGAAAACCUUGGACCAAGGAAUGCAGGAGCAUCUAGAAGCUGGAAAAGGUCAGCCAGAAUGCAAACAACAUUUCCAAGAAUCCUUGACUGAAUCUUCCAAACAGCUCAUGCGCUUUCCUGAACAGAGGAAGUAUCCUUUGCCUUUCCUGUGGAAUUGAUGAGACCAAAUGUCGUCAAACCUACUUCCAAGGCUUCUGAAGAGCCGCCAUAGUAUAAUGUGUCUUGUACCAUCUCAGUGAUUGAUUUGAAGCAAGCAACCACAAAUCCUACAGCUGUACAGAACUGGAUGCUGCCAACAUGGAAACAGGAAAGUGGAUGCGUCCUUAGACAAGCCUAUGGAUGAGAACCAACUCCAGAUGAUACCUUGACUGCUGCUCUGAAAGAUCCUAAUCAUAGGACCCAAGGAAGCUCUGCCUGGACUCCGGAGUCACACAAACAGAUGUGUUGUUUUAAUCCACUACAUUCAGUGGUGGUAAAUUGUGUUACACAGCAAUAUAUAAUGAAUAUCAUGUAAGUUUGGUUUGGUAGCUGUAGACAUUAGAACAUCUGUGAGAAAGCAAGUGUCUACUUAAAAUGUGACAUUCCAAAUAAUAUCCAAAUACCUCCAGGCACCACAGUCUGAGAGAGAGAAGGAGAGAGACAGAGAGAUGGAGAGAGAGACAACGAGAAGCAAAGUGAAUAGUAGUUCAAUGGGUUGUUUUCGUUUGGAAUUUAGUGAGGUUUGGGCCAUAAGAAAUUCUAUCCCAGUGCCCAGGAGACAGAAGAUGACAGACUUGGGCUGGGAAAUAGAAACAUUUUUUAUAUCGUCUCCCUCCCUCUCCCCACCAUCUUAGCCUAUUCUCUCUGGGCGAUGGAGCACAAAGCUGUGAAUGGCCCCUUCCUGAGCCACUUGGGUUCUUAAUCCUGUGUUAGGCCCAGCUCUCCCCCUAAACUUCCUUGCUCAUUAAUAAACUUUGGACAGAACACGUAAGUGUGUGGGGAGAGUGUUUUAGAAGAGCAACCAAGAUAUCCCAAAGUACUGCUAACUUGCUGACUUUACAGAAUUUAAUUUUAUUUUUUUCACUCUACAACCUCCACAUCCUGAAUCACAUUAUACAACCACAGCAGUAGCUGGAAUAUCUAUUGAGCUGGGCGGAGGCUGCAGGAAAGGUUGAUAAUGACAUCGUUUCCCUUUUGUUGCUUUACUUAUUUUCAAUCAAAUUGACUGCUUAUUCUGAUUGGGACGUGGAAGUAUGAGUUUUAGAGGAAGCAGAAUGAAUGGAGGACCAAAAACACAAUAGUCCGGAGAAAGAGGAGGCACGUGGGCGAGAUGAUGGAGAAGUAGGGUUGAUCAGUGUAGCCAUGAACUAAGCUUACUUCACCCCCAGUUACUCAACUGGUCACACCCACUGUUGCCUGUCUGACUCUCUCGGAGCCCGUGUAAUCUGCAGUGGGCCACAUGGCCCAAAGUUUGAAAACUUGCCUAACAAUAAUAGCCACAAUUUACUGAAUGAUUACCCGAUGCCAAUUACUACGGCACACUUUAAAAAUACAUUAUCUGGCUGGGUGUGGUGGCCCACCCCUGGAAUCCCAGCACUUUGGGAGGCUGAUGCGGGUGGAUUGUUUGAGGCCAGGAGUAUGAUACCAGCCUGGCCAACACGGCAAAACCCUGCCUUUACUGAAAAUACAAAAAUUAGCUGGGUGUGGUGACACACACCUGUAAUCCCAGCUACUCAGGAGGCUGAGGUGGGAGAAUCGCUUGAACCCAGGAGGUGGAGGUUGCAGUGAGCUGAGAUCAUGCCACUGCACUCCAGCCUGGCGACACAGCAAGAGUCUGUCUUCAAAAAAAUAAGUUAAAUAAAUAAAAUAAAAUAUAUUAUUCACAUUUCACCCUUACCAGAGAAGUGAGCUCAAUUUUGACAUAAAGAUAAUUGAGACAGAAAGUUGAUUUAAAACACACUGAGUUCUGACAGCUGCUAAAAUGAAAAGCAGAGAAACAAAUCCAGGCAUCUUGACUGUAAGGCUUGAACUCCUAAUCCCUACAUUCCUAUACUUCACCCACAUUAUAUGAAAAUCUUCAGGUUUCUCUGAAGUUAGAGUUCCAU
rnacentral:lncRNA from 1 species